UCAGCCGAUGUUUCCAGUGUGAAGAGUUAGUUUGUGACCCGAUCAGAUGUUUUACUGCAUCUAUUUAUUUGUUAAGAAGUGGCUUAAGAAGCAUUUACACAGAGAAAAAAAGAUCAGUUUCCACUGAUCAGCAGGGAAUUUUAGACCAUAAGUCAGUUAAUCCAUCUUCAAAUAGAGCAAGAGGAUGAAACUUGGAUCAUACAUUUACAUUAUAAGUUGUUGAUACAAAUGUGUAUGUAAACAUUUACUCUUUACUCCCUGUUAUCCACGUCUUUCAUUCAUGUCAGUUACUUGUUUUGUUUCUUUAUAUUGUAUGUUAAUAUUUUAUUCAUGUUCAAACAUGUUUCUGCCAUUAGACGCUGCUCAUCAGAAUCAUUUAAUGUGCAGGAUGAUUUCUGAGAAAAGUUGCUUUUGCAGGUUCCUCUUUCUUUGACACAUUUUCUAUUUUCAGAGGGAACAUUUUAAAAGAAAGGAAGUGUUUGUCUUUGCGAGUGCAGUGAUCACAAGAUACGUUAAAGGUGUUAAACUGAAGCAAAACCGCAACUAACACACACGGUACAAACAGCAUUUUAUAUUCAUGUAUCUUAUUGACAUAAUAAUGUUUGGUCCUUUUUAUUCUCUCAAAUGUUGGUUUUGUUCCAGGGAGCAGAGAUGAAAAGCUUCCUCUACGACACUCACAUGAUAUGAAUAAGGCCUUUAAAGUGGAGCAGGAACAGAUCUCAAGCCGUCAGAGAGGAAGUUCAAAAGGAGCCCGAUGACGAGCAGCUGUGUGCAAACGUCUCCGAGCUUCUUUGAAUCAGAGGCCAGCUGUUAGUUUAUUGUGAAGCAGAACACCGGUUGUUGCAGCGUGGGGUCGGAGACUCCGUCAUGUCUCUCUUUGUGAUACUCGGGCUGCUCGUCUGCAUUCAGGCUCAAGGAACCAUUGUGACUCCUGUGUUUGUGCUGAAGGGACGUGAUCUGCUCCUCAAGCUUCAUGCUCAUCUUACUGAGAAGAUUUUAGCUGUUGACUGGAAAAUCAAUAAAAACGUCACAUUAAUAAGAUUUGAUCCUAGUGGAGAAGCAACUGUCCUUCAUAAUGUCACUGGAGGGUUUGAGUUUGGUGAGAAUAAAUUCUCUGUGAUAUUGAAGAAUGUACAAGAGGUCGACAGUGGACUUUAUUCUGCUGAAGCAGGAACACUUACAGGAGACAAACUAGCAGCUGAAUACAAGGUCACAGUUCAAGGUGAGUCUGUAAACAUUUCACUGAUAGUUUCUGCCGCCAUGUUUCAUAAACUCUU